UUGAUUAUUUGCUCAAGUUUUGUCUGUAGCGAUCAGUGAUGCUAUUAGUGUCUUUAUGUGUAGUAAUGUUCAACCCUUGAUAGUAUAGAUCUGUUAUAAUACAACCAUUCGUCAUUUCCACUCUUAAUACACAAUACGGUGACAGUGGAGAGAACACAAUACGUUAAGCAACCUGCACGGGACGACGGCGCUUCAUUCCUACUCUAGAUCGGAACCGUUGCCUUUAUAGGGAAACUAUUAGGAAACUAAGGAAGGACUUUAUUUCGGGAAGUAAACCUACACUUAAAAGAUUAUCUCAGCUGUUGUCACCAUGAAAGUGGAAUGUAUUGUGUUAUUUUUCGGUCUUUGUCUUAUGUCAGUUUUUGGUCAGUAUUAUGAUAGAGAUCAAGAUUCCCCGGGGAUUUUUCCUAGUCCAUAUUCUCAAAGAUUGACUUUAUCACGAGGUUAUCUCCCUUGGUAUAUAAAGAAAAGACUUGGAGAAAACAGACGAACACCAUCAGUCAUAUCAAGAUCAUAUGGUCGACCAUCUUAUAAACAAUAUCAUCCAUGGCAGCUGCCCGUGUUUAACCAACAUAGAGGUUAUGGUUUUUGAGGAAGAUAAAAUCUGCUGAAACAUAAAUAUUUCUUACAAAGGAAACUUUUUUUUAAAGUUCUGGUUCAUCUGUGGUUUAUUUUUCAUUUUUCAAAGGAUGCAAUUAUAUAUACACAUCAAUAUAUUUAUUCUUAUAUCAUAUUUUGAUCUUUGGACCAGGAACUCGGGCCCAAGCGCUACCCAUCUUAUUCUUCUUGUUGCUGGGAGCGACAAUCUUCGAAAAAGGCUUAAGGCUCCGCCAAUUCAAAUACGAUCAAUUUGGCAUGCGUUUUCCUCGAACAACUGCAUUUGGUUUUUGAUAUGACGUCACAAUUCCAAGAUGGCUGUGCUUCCUGGUCCAUAGUGCAUUCGUACUUGUUUAUAUAUAUGUAUGUAUCCACCAAAACAUUGUUCUACGUUGAAACCCCCAGAUCGUCUACUGUCGUAUCGUUAUGUUAUUUAACAGCUAUCUAUCACGUGGUCGUUUAACGUCUGCUUCCACAAAGGUCACAUCGGAGACAAGUUCUAGUUCUAGUAGAAGCCGAAACUUGCUGCAGUGUAUUAGAAGAUUCAUUUGUGGCCUAUGGCCAUGGAAUGAUUUAGUACGAAUAUAUUUCCUAUUUAAUAGCCUACUUCAUUUCGCUUUAUUUGCUCAUUUAGCCUUGUUAUUGACUCAGUCGUCCAGGAAGGCACACAUUGACUAAAAUAAUACCACUGGUUUCAAUUGUCGUAAUCAAGUUGAUUGAAAACCACAACUGACGAAUAGUAAAUGUUUAUCAAUUAGUGCAUUAUGGUGAAAAAGUUGCCUAUCGACAGAAGCCGAGUCUGUGACAAUCUAGCCGAAUUUCGUCGAAUUUGUUACAGUGUUCGUCGACAGACGUAAAUCAGUCGGACAUGGAAAAAGGAAAACGUUAUAGUAUCAAUAAAGAAUGACAAACUGCCUUUUUUUAGGGGCUGUGUGAAAAUGUUUGAAAUAUACUAUCGAAACGAACAGAUGAUUUCUUAUUUCUGCAUUUUCAUGAUUCUAUUGUCUGUAAGGAUAACACAGCGCGUUAUAUAUAUCCGAAAUUUUAAGGCUAUAUGGCGCUGACUCAUUCAUCAGAAUGUCCCGGAUUCGAUACCGGUCGUGACCGAGAAAGUUCCCCAGGGAUUUCCCUGUUUGGUUUCCCCGUGUCAAUGGCGCAGGGCGAUGGGCCUGUCGAGGUAACAUGUCUAGUCGUUCGUAUGUAUCGUGUAUACCAUUGGAAUACCAUUACAAAAGUAGGAGCUAGCUCCGCUAUCAGAGCACAUUUUCACCCAUAGCAUGAUGUAUGAUGUUAAACCCCACACAUGACAAACAAUUGUAAAAGGGGCCCAUUUCUUUUCCAUAAUAUUCGAAAUUAAAAACACGAAUUAGAAUUCAAUAUUAUUUUAUCCAUUUCAAUCAAUAUUGAUGUUGUUAUUUUGCCGUGAAAAUAUGGGAUCCUAAUAUCCAAUAUCAAUGAACAUUUUAAAACCAGUACACGAGUCGUGGGUUCUAUGGUUUCUGGCGCCAUUUGUAAUGAACAAAGACAAACAUAUUCUACAAGACAAAGCAGAAGUAAUUAGUAUUUCACCAAAUAUAAUUGAAUAGAAAUUGCAAUAAAUAAUAUAAAAAUGGGAAGUAAUUAGUAUUUCACCAAAUAUAAUUGAUUAGAAAUUGCAAUAAAUAAUAUAAAAAUUGAAUAUAAAUCACUUUGUACAUUCAUAUUACAUUAAAGGGGCAUUAGGUAAGAUUAGAUAGUGAGAUGACAGUUCUCGCUAUAAUAAUUAAAAAAACAUAUAAUGAAAACAGAAUAUGCUGAAAAUUUCAGUCAAAGUGCUUCAAUUAACUAUUUAAUUAUUAGGUUAGCUUCGAUCGUCAUUACUACCCUUGCAACGAUAAUAUACAAAGUCUCGAUUAUCCAAUUUUACGUUAAAUAACCCAUCACUAAACGUAUUGAAAUCUACUAAAUAUCGCAGGCUUACGAUGGCAUCGAGGGUUUAUUAUGGUCUUGAUAAGUUAAUUAAUGUCUAAUUAAUAAUUUAGAUAACAUUUAAGGCCUAAAAAAAGACCUGCAAUAGGCAGAUUUAGUCUUGCAUAACGCAUGUUUCAUAUGUGCUUUUAGACCCAGAGCCAUACAAAGUGAUCAUUUUCAGUUUAUGCAAAUAAAGUAACAUCUCUAAUAAUACCCUUUUAUCUAUUUUCUAUUAUCAACUGAUUUAUUAAUGUAAUUUAUUUAAUGUGAAUAUUAAGCUUCUUUUGUCCAACAGAUAUUUUCUGAAAUAAAUUGUUCUGUACUUUU